CAUAGCUCUUCCUUUCACACUGAACAAGAACACUACCACAACACCACAUUACUGCUAUGAUACAAGUUUCUAAGCCUCUUCCCUGAAGAAAAGUAUUUGGGGCUGGAUGGAGUAACACAGCUGGUGAAGUGGGAGCUUUUAAUCAGCACAAGAACCACUUCUGAGGCUUCAAAGAAGGUAGUGCUUCCAGCACAGCCAACAGAA